UACGGGGGAUGCAAGCGUUAUCCGGAAUUAUUGGGCGUAAAGGGUCCUGAGGUGGCUAUCCAAGUCUAUUGUGAAAUAUCAGGGCUUAACCCUGAACAUGCGGUGGAAACUAGAAAGCUUGAGUACAGUAGGGGCGGAGGGAAUUUCCGGUGGAGCGGUGAAAUGCAUAGAUAUCGGGAAGAACACCAACGGCGAAAGCACUCCGCUGGGCUGAUACUGACACUGACAGACGAAAGCUAGGGUAGCGAAAGGG
rnacentral:rRNA from 1 species